rnacentral:misc_RNA from 1 species
GAAAUGCGAUAAGUAAUGUGAAUUGCAGAAUUCAGUGAAUCAUCGAGUCUUUGAACGCACAUUGCGCCCCCUGGUAUUCCGGGGGGCAUGCCUGUCCGAGCGUCAUUGCUGCCCUCAAGCCCGGCUUGUGUGUUGGGCCUCGUCCCCCGUUCUCGGGGGGCGGGCCCGAAAGGCAGCGGCGGCACCGUGUCCGGUCCUCGAGCGUAUGGGGCUUUGUCACUCGCUCUGUAGGCCCGGCCGGCGCCUGCCGAUCAACCACAUUCUUUCCAGGUUGACCUCGGAUCAGGUAGGGAUACCCGCUGAACUUAA